rnacentral:rRNA from 1 species
UACGUAGGGUGCAAGCGUUAAUCGGAAUUACUGGGCGUAAAGCGUGCGCAGGCGGUUAUGCAAGACAGAUGUGAAAUCCCCGGGCUCAACCUGGGAACUGCAUUUGUGACUGCAUGGCUAGAGUACGGUAAAGGGGGAUGGAAUUCCGCGUGUAGCAGUGAAAUGCGUAGAUAUGCGGAGGAACACCGAUGGCGAAGGCAAUCCCCUGGACCUGUACUGACGCUCAUGCACGAAAGCGUGGGGAGCAAACAGG